GAUUCCCUUAGUAACGGCGAGUGAAAAGGGAAAUGUCCAGCGCCAAGUCUUGACACUUAGGUGUUCAAGAGAUGCGGCGUUAAUGUGUUGGCGCCUCGUACAUUGUUCCACGUUUCAAGUUCCUUUGACAGGGACAUCCAGAGCGGGUGCUAGGCCCAUAGAGACGAGGAACUGGUGUAUGCAGGCCAAUGCAUUCUAGAGUCAGGUUGCUUGAGAGUGCAGCUUAAAGUCGGUGGUAAACUCCAUCCAAGACUAAAUAUUACAGCGAGUCCGAUAGCAAACAAGUACCGUGAGGGAAAGUUGCAAAGCACUUUGAAGAGAGAGUUCAAUAGUACGUGAAACCACUGACAGGCAAACAGAUGGAACCACGAAGUGUGCGCUCUGGUCGAUUCAAUCAUCGUCACCGGUUGUCUGUGCUURUCUAGGAUCUUUUCGGAGAUUGGACAAGUGCUCUCCAACUGGBGGCGCUGGUGCAUUUCGUGCCAGAGAUGCUAAGCCACGUUCGAUUAGAGUUGGGACGGCUUUAGGACAGGGUCUGAGAAAGGUUCCCGUCAGGUGCUUGCAUCUGAUGGCGUUAUAGUCUCGGACCGGUACCGUCGCCUAACAAACUGAUCGAUGAAAWUUCUCCUUACGGAGUUGAACUGCAUCUGCCUGUGGCUGUAAGUCGUUGUUUCGGGAUGUUCUUUGCGUGUCUUUCGGUGCGAAAAGACUUUCCAACAAUGGCGGCUAAUGGUURCUUGCGUGAUGCGGUGGAACUGUGGCGUGAGUAGGUCGGUCUCCAUCUGACCCGUCUUGAAACACGGACCAAGGAGCCUAUCAUAUGCGCGAGUCGCUCGGUCUUGUUUAGGCCUGGGAGGCAGAAUGAAAGUAAUACUAUGAGRCUUCGGYCGCAAUAGUAACUCACCUACUUCGUUUAUUGGCGAUCAGGUGAAGCUGGAGCGCAUACGAUGGUACCCGAAAGAUGGUGAACUAUGCCUGGGCAAGACGAAGCCAGAGGAAACUCUGGUGGAGGUCUGUAGCGAUUCUGACGUGCAAAUCGAUCGUCAGACCUGGGUAUAGGGGCGAAAGACUAAUCGAACCAUCUAGUAGCUGGUUCCCUCCGAAGUUUCCCUCAGGAUAGCAGGCGCUUAAUUUGAACCAGUCUCAUCCGGUAAAGCUAAUGAUUAGAGGUCUUGGGGUUGAAACGACCUCAACCUAUUCUCAAACUUUAAAUGGGUGAGAUGGUUGACUUUCUUGAUUGAAGCCAACCAUUUGGAUGUGAGUGCCUAGUGGGCCAUUUUUGGUAAGCAGAACUGGCGCUGUGGGAUGAACCAAACGUCGAGAUAAGGCAUCAAAUGCAUACGCUCAUCAGAUCCCAGAAAAGGUGUUGGUUGCUAUAGACAGCAGGACGGUGGCCAUGGAAGUCGGAAUCC
rnacentral:rRNA from 1 species